rnacentral:rRNA from 1 species
AGGAUUCCCCUAGUAAUGGCGAAUGAAGCGGGAACAGCUCAAAUUUGAAAUCUCCGUUGCCUGCAACGGCGAAUUGUAGUUUCGAGAAGCACUUUCUCGACGGAUCCGGGGCCGUCCAAGUUGCUUGGAACAGCACGUCAUAGAGGGUGACAACCCCUUCUGUGGCGGAACCGGCCGUUCACGAUGUGCUUUCGACGAGUCGGGUUGUUUGGGAAUGCAGCCCAAAAUGGGUGGUAAACUCCAUCUAAAGCUAAAUAUCGGCACGAGACCGAUAGCGAACAAGUACCGUGAGGGAAAGAUGAAAAGCACUUUGAAAAGAGAGUUAAAAAGUACGUGAAACCGUUAAAAGGGAAACGAAAGGGGUUAGCAAUGCGCUCUGCGAGAUUCAGCCGGGCCGGCGCGUCGGGCGGGCGGUCUGCGGAUCCGAAUGGACCGCGGCCGUCCGGUUCGGCGCCUCGACCGUCGCACUUCUCGCGAGCGCGCGCCAACAUCGGUCGGGACUGGGUUUCAAAGGCGCCGGGAAGGUAGAUCCGUUUCCCUUCGGGGGUCGGAUUGUUAUAGACCGGCGUCGUCAUGGCCCGGACCCAACCGAGGAGCCGCGGCGCAUGCCCCUCUUUGGGGGGGCUGGGGUCCCGUCGUUCCGGUCGGUCGUCGACUGCGGUGGACUGCAUGCAGUGCGCCGCGACUGCUGCCGGUCGCCACGGCGGUGACCUCACACCAUGCGCCCAGGAUGUUGGCGGUCACAUGGCCUCUUCCGACCCGUCUUGAAACACGGACCGAGGGGUCUAACGCGUGUGCGAGUCUUCGAGUGACCGAGGCUCCGAGGCAGGAUGUGGGUGAAGGCGGCCCCGUGCCGCCGAGGUGAGGGCCCUCCCUCCCUGGAGGGGGGGCGCGUCAUCGACCGGCCUAUUCUGCUCUUAGGCGUGGUCAUGGAAGUCGGAAUCCGCUAAGGAGUGUGUAACAACUCACCUGCCGAAGCAACUAGCCCUGAAAAUGGAUGGCGCUCAAGCGUCGCACCUAUACCGUGCCGUCGACGCGAAUGCUAAGCGCCGACGAGUAGGAGGGCGUGGGGGUCGUGACGCAGCCUCUGGUGCGAACCUGGGUGAAACGGCCUCCAGUGCAGAUCUUGGUGGUAGUAGCAAAUAUUCAAAUGAGAGCUUUGAAGACCGAAGUGGAGAAAGGUUCCAUGUGAACAGCAGUUGGACAUGGGUUAGUCGAUCCUAAGAGAUAGGGAAAUUCCGUUUUCAAGCGCCCGAUUCUUUCGGGCCGUCUAUCGAAAGGGAAUCGGGUUAAUAUUCCCGAACCGGAACACGGAUAGUGUCGCCUUCGCGGGCGGCGGGUGCGGUGACGCAAACGAACCCGGAGACGCCGGCGAGAGCCCUGGGAAGAGUUCUCUUUUCUUUUUAACGGACUUUCACCCUGAAAUCAGCUUGCCUGGAGAUAGGGUUUGAUGUCCGGUAAAGCACCACACUUCUUGUGGUGUCCGGUGCGCUCUCGACGGUCCUUGAAAAUCCGGGGGAGACGGUGAUUUUCGUGUCCGGUCGUACUCAUAACCGCAGCAGGUCUCCAAGGUGAGCAGCCUCUGGUUGAUAGAACAAUGUAGGUAAGGGAAGUCGGCAAAAUAGAUCCGUAACCUCG